ACGCGCUUAGCUCACCGAGUCAAUCCAUGAUUGGCAUCGAUGAAGAACGCAGCGAAAUGCGAUAAGUAGUGUGAAUUGCAGAAUUCAGUGAAUCAUCGAAUCUUUGAACGCACAUUGCGCCCCUUGGUAUCCCGAGGGGCAUGCCUGUUCGAGCGUCAUUU
rnacentral:rRNA from 1 species